GGCCUUGUAGUAAAAUUACGUUAGAUUGCAAAUCUAAAGAUGCAGGUUAAUUCCCUGCCGGGGCUU
rnacentral:tRNA from 1 species